UUUGGCCUUCACCCUGAUCUCCAGAAUCACUUGCAAUCUUGGUAACAUUUCCAUUCCCACUAUUUCUUCUUAACACUCUGUUUCCAUGCUGCUCAUCAAUAAAACAUCCAUCUGCACCUUCUAUUUGACAUAUGUUCUUUGCACGGUUGCGUGUACCUCUCCAACCACCUAAUAAUGCAUCUCUGCUGGCAUCACUGGUUUCAUUAGCUGCCUUACUAUUAGCCCCACAACUGGUAGAAGCAUGACCAAUCUUUACAUUUGGCUC
rnacentral:misc_RNA from 1 species